AGUUUUAAUGAAACAAAAGGAACAGCAACUUUUAACCUCCUAAGAAGUAUUUGAAAUGCUUGAAAAAGACCUCUUAGGAGGUCAAAACGUUGCUGUUACUUUUGUUUCAUUAAAACU